GUUGAUAACUACAGGUGGGAAAAACCAGUGUCUAAUCUUGAAAUACCCAUAAUUCAAUGGGAAGUUACUUACGAUGGAUGGCCAGUUAUUGAAGGGUGAAAUUCAGGAAUUACUCAGUCAAGUUUUGCCAGAGGUGCAGGUAUGGUUCAGCCAGUACAGGUAGAGCGAGUUACUGAUAUUGCCCAGUUUGUUCGAGCAAUAUGUAGGUCACAGCCUUCAGCAGCAGACGGCCUCACAGACAUCAUAGUUCUGUUGUACACACUCAUUCAGAGGUUUUCAUCAUUCAAUCCCCCCACCUCUUGAGUUAUUGCUGCCUGUAUUGAUUGUAUAACAUGUGUAGCUAAGCUCCACCCAAAAGAGGCGUGGCAUGAUAUGAAACAGACAGGACUCCUCCCCUUUUUGACAGAAAAUAUUGACAACAUG